rnacentral:rRNA from 1 species
GUGGGGAAUAUUGCACAAUGGGCGGAAGCCUGAUGCAGCAACGCCGCGUGCGGGAUGACGGCCUUCGGGUUGUAAACCGCUUUCAGCAGGGACGAAGCGUGAGUGACGGUACCUGCAGAAGAAGCACCGGCUAACUACGUGCCAGCAGCCGCGGUGAUACGUAGGGUGCGAGCGUUGUCCGGGUUUAUUGGGCGUAAAGAGCUUGUAGGCGGUUGGUUGCGUCGAAAGUGCAAACUCAGGGCUUAACUCUGAGCCUGCUUUCGAUACGGGCUGACUGGAGGAAGGUAGGUGAGAAUGGAAUUCCCGGUGGAGCGGUGGAAUGCGCAGAUAUCGGGAGGAACACCAGUGGCGAAGGCGGUUCUCUGGACCUUUCCUGACGCUGAGAAGCGAAAGCGUGGGGAGCAAACAGGCUUAGAUACCCGAGUAGUCC